rnacentral:misc_RNA from 1 species
UUUUGCUAUUAAAUUUUUGCUCAGACGUCACCGAUUAAACGAGUUUUGGUGGACUCUGGCAAGCGCUCGCCAGCCGAGGCCGGCGGCGGGUUGGACCCGCGGGCCCGCCAAAGCAACAAAGUAAGGUUCGCAUGGGGUUGGAGGUUCGGGGCGGAGCCCCUAACUCUUUAAUGAUCCUUCCGCAGGUUCACCUACGGAAA